GGCCCAGAUCGUUUACCGUGAAAAAAUUAGAGUGUUCAAAGCGGGCAGAUAUUUUUCCUGCCACCGAAUACAUUAGCAUGGGAUAAUGGAAUAGGACCCUGACCUCCUAUUUUCAGUUGGUUUUGUUUACAGCGAGGUUAUAUCAGGGUAAUGAUUAAUAGGGAUAGUUGGGGGCAUUAAUAUUUAAUUGUCAGAGGUGAAAUUCUUGGAUUUAUGAAAGAUUAACUUCUGCGAAAGCGUUUGCCAAGGAUGUUUUCAUUAAUCAAGAACGAAAGUUAGGGGAUCGAAGACGAUCAGAUACCGUCGUAGUCUUAACCAUAGACGAUGCCGACCAGCGAUUAGGAGACGUUGAAUCCAAAACACCGCUGUUAAUCCUUUCGGGGGUUAAUAGUUGGUGAAUGACUCCCUAGCAGCUUGUGAGAAG
rnacentral:rRNA from 1 species